GACGAACGCUGGCGGCGUGCUUAACACAUGCAAGUCGAACGGAAAGGCCCUGCUUUUGUGGGGUGCUCGAGUGGCGAACGGGUGAGUAACACGUGAGUAACCUGCCCUUGACUUUGGGAUAACUUCAGGAGACUGGGGCUAAUACCGGAUAGGAGCUCCUGCUGCAUGGUGGGGGUUGGAAAGUUUCGGCGGUUGGGGAUGGACUCGCGGCUUAUCAGCUUGUUGGUGGGGUAGUGGUUUACCAAGGCUUUGACGGGUAGCCGGCCUGAGAGGGUGACCGGCCACCUUGGGACUGCGAGACGGACCAGACUGGUACGGGAGGCAGUAGUGGAGAAUAUUGCACAGUGGCCCGAAGUCUGAUGCAGCGACGCCGCGUGCGGGAUGACGGCUUUCGGGGUGUAAACCUCUUUGGCCGGUGACGAAGCGUGAGUGACGGUAAUUGGUAAAGAAGCACCGGCUAACUACGUG
rnacentral:rRNA from 1 species